rnacentral:rRNA from 1 species
UACGUAGGCAGCAAGCGUUGUUCGGAGUUACUGGGCGUAAAGCGUGCGCAGGCGGUCCGUUAAGACAGAUGUGAAAUCCCCGGGCUUAACCUGGGAACUGCAUUUGUGACUGGCGGACUCGAGUAUGGCAGAGGGGGGGUAGAAUUCCACGUGUAGCAGUGAAAUGCGUAGAGAUGUGGAGGAAUACCGAUGGCGAAGGCAGCCCCCCUGGGCCAAUACUGACGCUCAUGCACGAAAGCGUGGGGAGCAAACGAGGAUUACGAA